AACGAACGCUGGCGGCAUGCCUAACACAUGCAAGUCGAGCGAUACCUUCCGGUCGAGUGGCGCACGGUUGCGUAACGCGGAGUAACCUGCCCGUACGUUCGCAAUAACUCCCCGAAAGGGGUCCUAAUACCGGAUAAUAUCUUCUGACCAAAGAUUUAUCGCGUUUGGGGGGGCCCGGGUUGGUUUAGCUAGUGGGUAGGGUAAAAGCCUAUCAAGGCGACGAUACAUAGCUGGUGUGAGAGGUUGAUCAGCGACACUGGGAGUGAGACACGGCCCAGACUCCUACGGGAGGAGGGAGUGGGGAAUCUUGGACAAUGGGCGAAAGCCUGAUCAACCAAUGGCGGGUGAGUGAUGAAGGACUUAGGGUUGUAGAGCUCUUUUACCCGGGAUGAUAAUGACAGUACCGGGAGAAUAAGCUCCGGCUAACUCCGUG
rnacentral:rRNA from 1 species